rnacentral:lncRNA from 1 species
CUGAGAUGUUAUGAAUAUACACCUUGCACAGGAGAGACUUGCUACAAAGAGUCCAGGGAUAAUGUAAAGAUACGGAAGUGUUUUUCUCUUAAAGGACAGGAGAUAAGGUGACGCUUAGGGGACAAAAGAGGUGCAUGCUUUGUGUAGAGAAAACAGAGCUGAUCCAGCACAGCAGUAAACCCAGGCAUAUAAUUCUACCUAUUGCCACUGCUCACCAAACCACAUGGUGUAUUUCCUUUUGCCAGAUCAAAGCCAUGCCACAUGGAGCAGAACAAACAAAGCUUCAGCCAAGCAUUCUACCAAGUAGAGGGGAUGGGCAACCAGGCAGUGGUUCAGUUGUCACCGAGGUAAGGGUGGUUCCCAUCCCCCAGUACCAGGCAGAGCACAAGCAAGGCCUACAGCAAGCAGGAACACUGACCAAAGGGAAACCCAACUGUGCCUCUAUGGAGUUGCAGUCUUCAUGCUCCCAGGAUUGCUGUUUCUUUCCACAGUGUCUGAUAGACAGUAAUGUAGCAGGUCUAACUCUAACCCGUGUGGUGAUGCAGUAA